rnacentral:rRNA from 1 species
AUUGAACGCUGGCGGCAUGCUUUACACAUGCAAGUCGAACGGUAACAGGCCUUCGGGUGCUGACGAGUGGCGAACGGGUGAGUAAUGCAUCGGAACGUACCCAGAGGUGGGGGAUAACGCAGCGAAAGCUGUGCUAAUACCGCAUGUGAUCUGAGGAUGAAAGCGGGGGACCGAGCAGCAAUGUUUGGCCUCGCGCCUUUGGAGCGGCCGAUGUCGGAUUAGCUAGUUGGUGGGGUAAAGGCCUACCAAGGCGACGAUCCGUAGCUGGUCUGAGAGGACGACCAGCCACACGGGGACUGAGACACGGCCCAGACUCCUACGGGAGGCAGCAGUGGGGAAUUUUGGACAAUGGGCGCAAGCCUGAUCCAGCAAUGCCGCGUGCGGGAAGAAGGCCUUCGGGUUGUAAACCGCUUUUGGCAGGAACGAAACGGUGUCCGCUAAUACCGGGCGCUAAUGACGGUACCUGCAGAAUGAGCACCGGCUAACUACGUG